rnacentral:lncRNA from 1 species
AGCUAUUUCUGCUGUCAAGAUUUGCUCCGAUGGGAUAUGGGUAUAAAUGUCCCUCCGACCUGAGACCGCCACGGUGACUUACAAGCAACUCACUGCACUUAGGCACUGGACUACCUGAAUUUCUAAUUCAAUGACGGAAGGCUGCUGGGUGUAGUCAAGUACUUGACUUGUCGGUGCGUGUGUCAAGAUGGGAUUGACCACUCCAGUUUAGGAGCUGUGUACAGUCGUGUUUCAAUUUAGCAAAACCUUG